UGCGGGGGGGGCAAGCGUUGUUCGGAAUUACUGGGCGUAAAGGGCUCGUAGGCGGCCAACUAAGUCGAACGUGAAAUCCCUCAGCUUAACUGGGGAACUGCGUCCGAUACUGAUUGGCUUGAAUCCGGAAGAGGGAUGCGGAAUUCCAGGUGUAGCGGUGAAAUGCGUAGAUAUCUGGAGGAACACCGGUGGCGAAGGCGGCAUCCUGGGUCGGUAUUGACGCUGAGGAGCGAAAGCCAGGGGAGCAAACAGG
rnacentral:rRNA from 1 species